CCUACGGGAGGCAGCAGUGGGGAAUAUUGCGCAAUGGGCGAAAGCCUGACGCAGCGACGCCGCGUGAGGGAUGAAGGUCUUCGGAUCGUAAACCUCUGUCAGCAGGGAAGAACGGUCACUGUGCUAAUCAGCAGAGAAUUGACGGUACCUGCAAAAGAAGCACCGGCUAACUCUGUGCCAGCAGCCGCGGUAAUACGGAGGGGGCGAGCGUUAAUCGGAAUUAGUGGGCGUAAAGCGCUCGUAGGCGGUAUGUCAAGUCAAGGGUGAAAUCCCCGCGCUCAACGUGGGAACUGCCUUUGAAACUGGCACACUAGAGUGUGUGAGAGGAUAGUGGAAUUCCAGGUGUAGGAGUGGAAUCCGUAGAUAUCUGGAGGAACAGCAGUGGCGAAGGCGACUAUCUGGCACAUAACUGACGCUGAGGAGCGAAAGCGUGGGUAGCAAACAGGAUUAGAUACCCUUGUAGUC
rnacentral:rRNA from 1 species